rnacentral:pre_miRNA from 1 species
UGGCUUCGAUCGGUUACAAACUGUAUCAAAUCACAAGUUUGCGACUGUAUCCAGGCCAU